UACGAGGGGGGGCAAGCGUUUGUUCGGAAUUAUUGGGCGUAAAGAGCUCGUAGGCGGCCUGUUGCGUCCGCUGUGAAAGCCCGGGGCUUAACCCCGGGUCGGCAGUGGAUACGGGCAGGCUAGAGGUAGGUAGGGGAGAAUGGAAUUCCCGGUGUAGCGGUGAAAUGCGCAGAUAUCAGGAGGAACACCGAUGGCGAAGGCAGGUCUCUGGGCAUUAACUGACGCUGAGGAGCGAAAGCAUGGGGGAGCGAACAGG
rnacentral:rRNA from 1 species